AGGGAAAUGAGUGUAAUUUCCUCAACUUCCUAUGUUACUUAGAUUACUUGUCAUAUAAUUUGCAUGACUUCUAAGUAAAGAUGAGUACUUUUCAUAUAAAUAUAGCUCUUUCAAGUUAUUGAGUGUACUUAUAAUAUAUGAGAUUUGCCACCUCAGAUCAGAUGGUGAUCACUCAAUCAAAAGCUCACCAGUCCUCAUUGACAAGCAUAGCAAACAGCCAACCAAUGAGAAGAGCCACCGACCACUAUAUAAAGAAGAUUUAAACUGAUUUUUAGGGUAAGACACUCAGAAUACUCAGAGCUUUGCCUACUCACCCUUUUAUUUUUGUCAGAAUACUGACUUAGGCAUCGGAGCCUUCUUUCAGGGGUCACUGUCUAGGCUAGUUUCUUAUCUGUAGUUGUAGGUUCUAACUGUGUGGGAAACUUCAUCAAUGUUAGCCGAACACUCGAACAAGAGCACUUUGGAAAUUAUCCGAAUAACGCUUUUAGACCUCCACAUCUGUUUUGGCUGAAAAUCCCAACAGUCAGAAUGUUGAUCGCUCGAUCAAAAGCUCAUGAGUCCACACCAACAAGUAUAGCAACCAGCCAGCCAAUGGGAAGAGACAUAGAUCACGUUAUAAAGAAGAUUUAAACAUAUUUUACGGUUCUAUUGAGCGGAAAAUUUCGGUAACAUUAGCCAAACACUCGUCGACG